AGGUGCAGACAGUGAGAAGAGUCGAUCUCUCGGAGGCAUGGUGCCUGGUACAGGUUGAUGACACAGUCGUAAGAAUGUUAGUCAAACGGGUACAGUUGAUGUGCAUCAGUUCCGGUGCAGAAGGAGUGACCAGGGGUUGGUCACUGGAGCGUGGAGUGAAUACUGGCUCCGUGGAGCUCAUCAAGAAUCCACUCUGAUGGCCAGGUCAAUGUUGCUGUCGAGGGUCUGAGGAAGUUUGCAGGUGGCAAAGGAGGUGACGAGCCACAGAGUGCCCCACAGCUGACUGGUCAAAGACUUUCCUCAUCACAGAGGCGAAAGGAAUAAAGUCGACACUCAGUAGCCACAGAGUCCCAAAAGGCUGUUCCACACUCGUGCCUUUCCAGCCAACAAGGUGAUCACAUAGGUGACUUUUGAGCAUUUGUUUGGAAAUGACGAAGGCUGAAGUCUGGACACCAAGGAACAUUGCGAGAGGAAGGACCGACAGGAACCCGGCUUAUUGAUUUCAAAUAAAGGGAAAAGUUCCAGGAAAACUUGGCAGAAAAUCUGGUUGCCUCUGUCAGGAAGCUGAGACUUGGGCAAAGGUAGAUUCUCCAGCAGAACAAUGACUCCAAACAUACAUCAAAAUCCACACAGAAAUGGUUAAGUAAAAACACCAACCAUGUUCUGCAAUGGCCAUCUUAGCUUAAAUGCCAUGAAAAACUUGUGGUCUGAACUGAAGAGGGGGUAUCCCACCAAUGAUUAAGAAACGUUCUACA